rnacentral:rRNA from 1 species
UUGAUCCUGGCUCAGAAUCAACGCUGGCGGCGUGCCUAACACAUGCAAGUCGAACGCGAAAGGGGCUUCGGCCCUGAGUAGAGUGGCGAACGGGUGAGUUACACGUGGGUGAUCUACCUUCGAGUGGGGGAUAACGUCCCGAAAGGGACUCUAAUACCGCAUGACGUUCUGGGUUUGAAGACCUGGAAACCAAAGCUGGUGACCGCAAGGCCUGGCGCUAGAAGAGGAGCCCGCGCCUGAUUAGCUAGUUGGCGGGGUAACGGCCCACCAAGGCGACGAUCAGUAGCCGGCCUGAGAGGUCGGACGGCCACACUGGGACUGAGACACGGCCCAGACUCCUACGGGAGGCUGCAGUGGGGAAUUGUUCGCAAUGGGCGCAAGCCUGACGACGCAACGCCGUGUGGAGGAUGAAGGCCUUCGGGUCGUAAACUCCUGUUGAUCGGGAAGAAUGGGCUCUGGGUAAAUAGCCCGGAGCAGUGACGGUACCGAUUGAGGAAGCUACGGCUAACUCUGUGCCAGCAGCCGCGGUAAUAAGGU